CCCUUAGAUGUUCUGGGCCGCACGCGCGCUACACUGACUGGUGUAACAAGUGUCGCUCCUUGGCCGAUAGGCCUGGGCAAUCUUUGAACGCCAGUCGUGAUGGGGAUAGAUUCUUGCAAUUUUUGAUCUUCAACGAGGAAUUCCUAGUAAACGCGAGUCAUCAACUCGCAUUGAUUACGUCCCUGCCCUUUGUACACACCGCCCGUCGCACCUACCGAUUGAAUGGUCCGGUGAACCCUCCGGAUCGGCCCGCGCCAACGCAAGUUGAGCAAAGGCCGAGAAGUUGGGUAAACCUUACCAUUUAGAGGAAGGUGAAGUCGUAACA
rnacentral:rRNA from 1 species